UACCAGCACCCCGAGUGGUCGGGACGUUUAUUGGGCCUAAAGCAUCCGUAGCCGGUUCUACAAGUCUUCCGUUAAGUCCACCUGCUUAACAGAUGGGCUGCGGAGGAUACUAUAGAGCUAGGAGGCGGGAGAGGCAAGCGGUACUUAGUGGGUAGGGGUAAAAUCCGUUGAUCCAUUGAAGACCACCAGUGGCGAAGGCGGCUUGCCAGAACGCACUCGACGGUGAGGGAUGAAAGCUGGGGGAGCAAACCGG
rnacentral:rRNA from 1 species